GGGGGUAUAGCUUAGUGGUAGAGCAUGUGCUUAGCAAGCCCAAGGUCCCGGGUUUAAUUCCCAAGACCUCCA
rnacentral:tRNA from 1 species